UACGAGGGGGGCGAGCGUUGUUCGGAAUUAUUGGGCGUAAAGGGUGCGUAGGCGGUUUGGUAAGUCUUAUGUGAAAUCUACAGGCUCAACUUGUAGUCUGCAUGAGAAACUGCCGGGCUUGAGUGUGGGAGAGGUGAGUGGAAUUCCUGGUGUAGCGGUGAAAUGCGUAGAUAUCAGGAGGAACACCUGUGGCGAAAGCGGCUCACUGGACCAUAACUGACGCUGAUGCACGAAAGCUGGGGGAGCAAACAGG
rnacentral:rRNA from 1 species